rnacentral:rRNA from 1 species
AGGACGAACGCUGGCGGCGUGCUUAACACAUGCAAGUGGAGCGACGAACCAGGGCUUGCCCUGGGGCAGAGCCGCGAACGGGUGAGUAACACGUGGGUUACCUGCCUUGAUGACCGGGACAACCCGAGGAAACUCGGGCUAAUACCGGAUGUGCCCGCAAGGGGAAAGGAAGCUUCGGCCUCCGCAUCAAGAUGGGCCCGCGGCCCAUUAGCUUGUUGGUGAGGUAACGGCUCACCAAGGCUUCGAUGGGUAGCUGGUCUGAGAGGACGAUCAGCCACACUGGGACUGAGACACGGCCCAGACUCCUACGGGAGGCAGCAGUGGGGAAUAUUGCGCAAUGGGCGAAAGCCUGACGCAGCGACGCCGCGUGAGGGAUGACGGCCUUCGGGUUGUAAACCUCUUUCAGCAGGGACGAAGCGAAAGUGACGGUACCUGCAGAAGAAGCGCCGGCCAACUACGUGCCAGCAGCCGC